rnacentral:lncRNA from 1 species
CGGCCUUUGGCAGACAGGGCCAGCAGCUCUGAUUCACCUUCUGAUGCCCGUGAGGACAGGGAGAGAGCCACGACGCUACAGAUACUUAAGCUGGCCGGAGACAGGACGGGCGGCAGGACGCCGCCGCAGCUCUCCGCGUCCUCGGGGUCAGAGGACUCGCUGACCCAGUCCAGGUCGACGGCGGAGAUGUCUGAGUGUGUGCUGUAGUACAUGCGGCUGCCGCUGCCGCAGGCGGCGCAGAGGAUGGGCCCACGCAGGUAAUACUCCCUGAGCUCCGGCACCGUCGUCUCGUCCCUCUGGUCUGCCUUGACGGCCACCAUCUUCCCGUAGUGCCCCACGGCCACCACGCAGUCGCAGCCGGCGUCGCCAAAGAGCGCGUCGUCCUCGGCAUCCUCUUCCUCCUCCUCCUCCUCCUCC